rnacentral:rRNA from 1 species
CCCUUAGAUGUCCUGGGCCGCACGCGUGCUACACUGACGCCUACAGCGAGCACUUCCCAGCCCCGAGAGGUGGCUGGUAAUCAGCAAUAGGCGUCGUGAUGGGGAUAGAUCUUUGGAAUUAUGGAUCUUGAACGAGGAAUGCCUAGUAAGCGCAGGUCAUUAGCCUGCGCUGAUUAAGUCCCUGCCCUUUGUACACACCGCCCGUCGCUCCUACCGAUUUCGAGUGGUCCGGUGAAUCUUUCGGACUGCGCGCGGCCUCGUGCCGUGUCGCGGAAAGUCAGGUAAACCUUAUCACUUAGAGGAAGGAGAAGUCGUANCA